UACGAGGGGUGCAAGCGUUAAUCGGAUUUAUUGGGCGUAAAGGGCGUGUAGGCGGAAACAUAAGUCGGAUGUGAAAUCCCGAAGCUCAACUUCGGAACUGCAUUCGAAACUGUGUAUCUUGAGAUUAGGCGGGGGAAACGGAAUUCCAGGUGUAGCGGUGAAAUGCGUAGAUAUCUGGAAGAACACCGGUGGCGAAGACGGUUUCCUAGCUUACUUCUGACGCUGAGACGCGAAAGCAAGGGGAGCGAAC
rnacentral:rRNA from 1 species